rnacentral:lncRNA from 1 species
AUGUGAUACAGAGGAACUACCAGAAUUUCUGCAUUUAGAUAGCCUUAGAGAUACACAAUACGCUGUCUACUUUUGCUACCUUUGAUAGUUGAUCUUGAAGGAUGGGGGAAAAAAAAACAAACAAUUCUUUAUCCUGAAGUAAAUUUUAGACAUUUGUUUGAGCCUGCUUCUUACCCAAGGGUUACAGGGAGGUGAUAGGAUUGCUAGAGAUCUUAGAAACUUUCAAAAGAUUGCUUACACUAUCUGCCAUUUUAAAUAGGGGCAUUUAGAGUCAAACAGGUAGCCUGGCCACUAUUGGCCCAAAUACACUUGACAAAAUAUGAUUAUCCCAAUACAUCUCUUCCACAUACCUUGUCUUUAACGAUGGGGAAUAGUAACACAUUAACAGAAAGUUUCCAAUUCUGUUUCACUAUUGUAUAAUUGUCCCUUUUGGUUUUCAGAGACAGCCAAGAAUUCACCAACAAAAUGUCAUAGAAGGACUUGUAAGAAUUACUUUUUAAACUUUAUUUUAUUUUGGUGGUUUGUGCCUGUAACCUCAGAAUUUACAAAGUUACAAGAAGGUUGCCUGGGCUAUAGAAUGAGGCCCUCCUUCAAAAGACCUAAAUAAAUAUAAUUAUUUUAUAGUAGUGGUGCUGGAAGUCGAACCCAGUGUCUCAUAGGCACUGGACAAGCACUGUACCACCUAGAUACAGCUCUAGCCUGAUCAUUGUUCUUAGCUAGAUGAACAUUAUACUAUUUCUAAAUGACUGGUUUGGCUAUCAAGGGAACGGCAGGUUAGAAUAAUGCGAAAAUAAUCCAAAUAUGAAACUGAUUUUGUCUAAAAAACUUUAUUUCUACCAGACUUUUGUUUUUUAUUUUUAAGCUAUGAGAGCACAUGGACAGAAAAAUCCAAAAAUUUAUAUUAAUUUAUAUAUAGACAUAAUUUGAUAUAUUUACACAUAGCUCAGAUUUGAGGCAUAAUUUUUACUAAAUAUUUAAAUGUGAGUACAGUUAGCUAACAUGUGUGCUAGGUACUUCAUGCCCAACAUCACUCAGUAUAGUCCUAAUAAUGCCUCCUAGCAUUCCAAAUUUUGCAUGAUUCAUCCAAAGAGCACCAGUUCUAUGCAACAGUGGGACUCUAAUCAUCCCAUGUUUUAAAUAUUUUCUCUGAACAUCAUUUGAAGAUGGUGGGGCUCCAUAUACUUAUUCUUGUCCAGUUACUGUUAGUAGUUUGAAGACUUAAGAACGGCAUGGGUUUAAAUAGCACUGGUCUCUCUAGUUGGAGGCUAUUUCUUGAUUAAUUUCAGUCACUCAGAAGGCCUUUUUUCUUUUCUUUUUUUUUUUUUCCCCUUUUUAAAAAAUGCCCGAGACUUUGAAUCCAAGGCCUCAUGCACAUUAAACAUGUACUCCAGCACUGAGCUACUCCCACAGCCUCAAGAAGUAUUAGUAACCAACUGGAAUUUCCAGGUACUGUGUUAUAUUCUGAGGAUAGGAAGGUAAGAUUGAUAUAUAUGGUCCCUGUCCUUAUAGGGCAAGCGAUUUUAGUGAGAUGAUGUCUCAAAUUUAUAUCCUAACAAGAAUAAAAUUGCCUCGUUUUCUUUAAUCACUUAAAGCAGUGGUUUUCUACCUGUGGAAUCAAGUGAUUUUUUUUUUCACAGAGGUUGCCUAAGACCAUAGAAAUUGUUUUUGUUUAUAUUACAAUUUAAUUACAUUAUAAUUCAAAACAGCAGAAAUGCAGUUAUGAAAUAAUGAAAAUAUUUUUAUGGUUGGGCUCACCACAGCAUGAGGAACUGUAUUAAAGGAUCUCACAAUAUUAGGAAGGUUGAGAACCCUGACUUAAAGUCCACUUUCUUAGGGGUUUCUGUUAGUAAAAUUUUUGGUUCUGUUUGUAAGUGUAAACCAUUUGCAUAAUUUGUGAUCUCUUCCAUUUCUUGGCUGGAGAGGUCUUAUUUUUGUGUGAGAUAUUUAAUUUUGGUGGAACUUGGUUUCUUUGCUUACGUGUUUCUCAGAUUUUAAAGCAAAGAGAAGAGGCAUAUAUUUUAUUGUGGAAGAAGGCUUUUCACACUAGUAAUUAUAUGAGGCAGAGGUGAGCCUUAGUUACUCAGCAUUUGGUUUAAUUUGGCUUUUUGUUUUUGUUUUUGUUUUUUUGAGGCAGGAUCUUACUAUGUGGCCCUGGCUGCCUCUGCCUCUGCUGGGAUCACAGGUAUAGGCCACGAUGCCAGCCUCAGUGUUUGUGUUGUAUGGAUUCCUAGGAAAACCUCAAAAGAAAGAGGACCCUCUUUACUGUAGUUUGUUUUUUUUAAAAUUACUGUUAUUUAUUUAUUAUUUAAUAUGAAAACAAUCUCCAAACUGAAGUGGCUCUGAGGUAAAUCAGGUGUGAUUUUGCAUUAGUUUAGAAGAUGUGUAAGUGAAAGGUGACUAAUGUCACUAUUUCUAAAAUAUUGUCCUAAACAACUUAGAACAUUUUAUUUCAGCUCAUGAAUGGCUGUUCUAAAUCUGUUGUAUGUUAGACAUACUUGAACUACCUCUUUACUUAAUGGGGAAGUUUCCUUAAUAAAAGUUAACCAU